CUAAAAGCUUGGAGGUUGUGAUAGUCACGGAUUGUGGUCACUUUCCUAGUACCCUUUUUGUAUUGAAAUGUUAUAGUCUAAUUACCUUGAACAAAUAGGUCGGUCAUUUUAGGAUCUUUUUCUUAGUAAAUUAAUUAACAGUUAUAUAUUACAGAUAUGUAUGAGGUUUAUAAAUGAGCAUGGGGAAUCUUAAAUCAAUCAUCAUAAUAUAAUGACAUUUAUUAUUAUUAUUAUUAUUAUUAUUAUUUCUAGUAUAAAUGAAAAGGAGUUAACAUCUAUCUAUUCUUGAAUGACAACGGCAAGUAAAAGGCUGACACAUGGGGGCAUGAUAGACAAAAUUAUGAGUUAGCAGUCACAUUGGUUUUGAAUGUGUGUCUAGACAAUAUAUGAUUAGGUGUGACAAGUUGUUGAUUUUAGUGACCAAAAUUAAAUUAUGUUAAUUAUCUUGGCACUGGUACCAAACAACAGCAAGUAACACACCCUUUGGGAGCAUCUCUCCUUAAUUAAGUUGCCGCCUUAUCCACAGUCUAAUGGUCCAAGUCAAGUUCUCUGCGCACAAAUUCACCCAGCUGGACUGGAAUAUACUUACAAAGUGGAGUAACACCAGUUGAAUCUUUAAAGGCAUCACAUGUGGGAAUUCGCCCCACACCCGUUUAAGAUGGUCCAUGAGAUCCCCGUAUUGUAAUUUCAAGACUCUCUCUCUCUCUCUCUCUCUCUCUCUCUCUCACUCACUCAUCAUUAUCAAAACGAGUCGGGUUGAAGGAUUAAGACGUGCACUCAACUUGGUGGGCCAUGCUCGUGAUCCCCCAUGAGACAUCCUGCAUUUGGGGAAGGAAAGUAAAAGUAUAGCAAAGAAUCCUUAUUAUGAAACGCCAAAGAUGCCUACGCGGCGGUAGCGGUGGUCCUUCAAGAUGGUGGUAGCCAUGGUGGUCCUGUAGUAGAAAAGUUUCCAAG